GGGUGAGUCACUAACAGUGGAGUGACUAAAGAAAAUAGUCAGCAAUGGCUGGCUAGGAGGAGGAGCUGCUACAGAGUGGAGAAGGCUGUGGCAUCAGCCAGAUCAGAAUUUGCUGUGUCACUCUUGAAUUGCAUUGCCCAGACACAGAGUUAAGAGUGUCUCAUGAUGAUAACAACAAGGGUGAAGGAGAAUUCCUCCAAGAACAAGCUGAAUGUUGGGAAGGCCUGGAAAUGAGCACAGGGUUCACAAACCAGGCAAGGACAAGAAAAGCUUCUGUCUUAAGGGAAAGACCCAACACCCUCACUUCUCAUGGGACAGGUGAUUGGAGAUGA
rnacentral:lncRNA from 1 species